AAUGUAGUAAGAGUCACGACUCCUUCUAAUGCAUGACUAUUUAAUUUGAGUUGAUAAAUAUUGUUCUCACCUAAAUAAAUACAACCUAUGUAUUACUCAUAUAGUAUGGAGUGAGUAUAGAAGGUCAUCUCUUUAGGUUAACUAUUAUCUAUUAUCUAAUAAUUGAAUGGAUAAUGACUUCUAAUUUAUUUGAGUAGCAGCUAAAAUAAACAUGGAUUUGUGGCUUUAUGUUUUCAGUGUUCCUACUUUUACUUCACUAUGUAUUAUAAUUAUGUCAAAAACAUAUGUAGAAGAAAUUGCUCUAAAUUAUCUAGAUUAUGAUGACUGUUAUCCUAAUCUCCUUAAUCGAUAAGUCAAUCUCGUUAUACGAAUUUAAAACAUGCAUAUAUUAGUUAAUUUAUGAUAUGAAUAACUAAAUGAUAAGGUUGAGACGGUUAUUUUCUAUGCAUUUUUAGACAAUGAUAAUACAGAGUUAAGCUUUUUUACAUAUCUCACCUUUACCUUCAACUAUGUUGUUUCUCCUUUUAUUUUUUGGAGCGCGUGCUAGCACAUACCUAAUAUAUGAUAUUUUUUAAUUUAUAUGUCACAAAUAGAACUUGCAAAGUCUAUCAAAUUUUGUCAUUACAGUAAAGCCUCUGUAAAUUAAUACUCGAUAAAGUAAUAAAUUCUCUAAAAUAAUAUUUUUUUCGGUCUCAACUCAGACCAAUGGAAAAAACAUCAACUUUGAUAAGAUAAUAUAUUUUCAGAUCAUCUCUAUAUAAAUAUUGUCCCAUUAAUAUCAUAAAUUAAUUAUCUUUAAAAAUACAAAUAUAUCUAAAGACAACUGAGUGAAAUAUGAUUUUGUUGUGUUCAUUUUUUUAAAAAAAAUAUAAAAUAAAAAUUAAAUCUGGUUGUAACAUAUCUCUAACUUUUCUGAUAGCAUCCACGAGCUCCGGUAUUUUUUUUUUAAAAUCGUACCAUAAAAUUGUUAGGAGUUCUAGAUGCAAUAAGUGUUUCUUUACGCGUAACUGGUUCCAAAGGUAUAUUAUCAUCUUUAACAUUGUUUUUUCUAUGGUAUUCACAAUAUCUUCUAAGCUCUGGACCUCUGAACAUGUAUUACAUUCACUCAGAUAAUCCAACAGGUUAUUGUCAUCCAUUUUAUUAUGGUAACCGAGAUUAUUAACCAUGACCUCAAGUUCAUGAAUGACGUUUUCAAAAUUAGGUUCAUUCAAAUUUUUCUAAGAUUAAAACCCCCAUGAAUUUUACAGCGUUUAGAACAAUUUCUUAUUGUUUCUUUCUGAACAUUUCUUGUCCAAACAGGGAUUGCAAAAUUGAUAACAUCCAAACAUGAACUUUGCUAAAGUAGUUUGUCCCACUCCAUAGUCUUCUAAUUCAUGCGAUAAAUAUAUGUUUGAUAAUACAUUUUGAAAGAUCUUAUUAUCAAAACAUCACAAGGUUGAAAUUAGUAAGAUACAAAAAUUUUGAUGUAUUCGUUGUACUUUAUGUAUAAUAUAUUUUAUGUAAAAUCAAUAAUUAUGAUAUAUAUAAAUUAGUAAGAUACAAUGAUUUUGAUAUAAUGAAAAUUAAUCUUCAUCAAACCUCAUUUGUCACGACCCAAAAUCACGAGUCGUGAUGGCACCUAUAUUCCCAACCAAUAGGUAAGCCAACCAACAUAUUUUAACAAACUUAACUAACAAGAAGUGAAAAGACAACAAUUUCCAAAUCUCCAACACUGAGUUCUUAUAAGUACGAAUGCGGAAAACUGAAAAAAAGUACUACCCAAGAAAUGGUGUCAUGAGUACAAGAGCUUCUAAAAUACGAUGCAAGUCUGAAACCAAAAAGGCAAAUCUAACAUAAGGGAUAUCCUGUCUGAAUACCGAAUAACAGAAUAAGUAAAAGAUAGAGGGAGGUGUGGGCCACGGAACAGCCAAGCAGCUCACCACAACUCCAAGACACUCCAAACUCGGACUCAAACUGCUCCUCGAGAUGUGCUCCUACUUGGAAUCGAAUCUGCACCACAAAGAGUGCAACAAGUGUAGUAUGAGUACGAAACCACGUGUACUCAGUAUGUCUCAUUGACCGACCACGAAGAAGUAGUGACGGGAGUUAUAUAAGAAAAUAAUUUCUUAGAUUGUACAAGUAUAUAUAUAUAUAUAUUACACUUACUACUUAAGUUUCAUCAAUAAAGGAAAUCAACAUUUAAUAUUUUCCAAACACCAAACGAAACCUAUAGUCAUCAAGAAUGAAUGAUGGGAUGAAAUGCAAUGCAAUAUGAUGCCAUGUAAUGAUAUGUCUCAGAAUACCCAGUACUCACUCAACCGUAUAUACAUGAUACUCCUCGGAAAUACAUCGAGAGUUCAUGACCCAUGGGGGACUCGCGAGGUCCAUAUACCGACACGGACGAUCUCCACGUGUCUGUGCGGACGAUCUCAACGCACUAUCAUAAUAUCAAACAAUUUUCGCACGGACGGUCUCCACGUGCCCAAAUUACAAUCUUAACAUCUCACCAUCCCCAGCACGGACGAUCUCCACGUGCCCAACUUAUACUCAGUCUCAUGUCUAUGCAUGUGCACAAUAUUAUUUCAAUAAAGGGGAUGAUGAUGCAUCUCAAUCAAUCAAUAUGAACAUAAUACAUAACCACCUCAAUUAUCACAACUAUACGGGUGAAUUAAAUAAAACACAAUCACACAAGGAAUCCAAAUCAAUAAUAUAUCAGCUAAUGCCCAUAUGCUUUGGCAUUUCUCAAAUUCUAAUCCACAUUCUAUAAUAGAAAUUUUCCUUUUUAUAACACCGGUACUCGUACCAAUGCCCGUCACACCAUUGAUACGAGACCACCACUUUUUCCCCCUUACUCCAUUGUCUAUUUUCAUUUUUAAUCUUUAAUUAGGAAAACGUCCUUCAACAAGUCUAAAAAGUCUUAACAUACCUCAAGUGCCAAAUUCGUGUCACGAAUCUUCAAGAUAGUUCCUUCCCUUUUUGCAAAGUUUCGUAAUGUUCACGAUCUACCAAUGAUGCAAUAUUCAUAAAUAAGCGAGUUUGUAGACAUUCAUAUUAUUAUAUAUAUAUCAUAGACCCUAAACUCAUUCAUAUCUCUAAUCAAGCGUCAAAUCUUGGUAUAAUUUAUAUGCCAAUUCGUCAAAUUUCAAGCCAAGAACUUAACCUUAACCUCUCCAAAUACCCUAGAUUCAAUGCUAAAUCAUAUAAUAUACACCCAAUAAUUAAUUUCCUAUCUCAAUAUAUCAAAAACUAGUAUCAUAAUUUGAUAAAAUAAAUACAAAUAAGAAUUAAUAAAGAAAAUCAAGGAAUGCGAUAAUGCAGACCACGUUCUUUUUUUUUCGUUUUCUUCAAAUGGUACUGUCAAAUGUCUAACUUGUAAAGGAAUAUGCAUAUAAUUGCAUGAGAACCAAUUGUAUCCAAUGAUUAAGCAAUCAUUGGCCGCCAUUAUCAAAUAAAUCCUAUGCCACAUUAUAGUUUAAAAAAAAACAUUACAGUGACUAUACAUUACACUUUAAUCCCCUCAAAAUAUUAUUUUAUUAUAUUAAUGCAAGUGUACCAUACAAUUACACAUAAACCUUUACAAAUUUGGAUUGAUUUACCUGGAGAUUAAUGUUCUCCGCAGCCGUUGGUCCCUCUCGUCUCCAGGUAGUUUCUAACCUUUAUAUUUUUUUUGUUCUUCUUCUAAAAUAACCUAACUGAUUUGUUUUAAUUAUAUAGUCAAAUGGUAAGGGUUAUUAAAAAAGAGAAUUUGACCCAAUUAUUAUUCAAGUAUAUUAAUUAUAAUAUAGAUAUAUGUAUCAACUAAGUACUCCUAGUUAUCAAAUAGUUUAAAAUACCUCUUAAAUUUUCAAAAGGAGUCGAACUAGUCCUAGUUCUCAAAACGACCUAGCGGGUCGUUACAAAACCAUUCUUUAAAUUAAUAAAUAUUACUUUAUCGAUUAAAUAAUAUCACUUUAAAAUAAAAUUUCAUGGUCCCGCCAAUAUUAAUUUAUAGAGAAUUUAUCGUAUUUUUAAAUAUGAAAAGUUGCUAAUUAGUGUAACUUAUUGAGUAGUAAUUCUUAAGUAAAUUUCAUAUAAUAUGUGUUAUUCUCUCGCAAUUUAUGUUGCAUGGUAGAAUUCAGGAGUGAACCAAUUUUUUAAGUGAUUGACUAUUGUGAUUUAUAGUAUUUCUUAUAUAAUUUUUAAAUAAUAUAUGUUAUUUCUCUAUCCCAAUUUAUGUAGUAGCAUUGAUAGAAUUUCGAAAGUCAAUCAAAAUUUUUGAGUAUAUAAGGUCAUCUCUUUAGGUUAACUAUUAUCUAUUAUCUAAUAAAUGAAUGGAUAAUUACUUCUAAUUUAUUUUAAUAGCUGCUAAAAUAAAC
rnacentral:lncRNA from 1 species